CGUAGGGUGCGAGCGUUAAUCGGAAUUACUGGGCGUAAAGCGUGCGCAGGCGGCGCGUUAAGACAGGUGUGAAAGCCCCGAGCUUAACUUGGGAAUUGCGCUUGUGACUGGCGUGCUGGAGUGUGGCAGAGGGAGGUGGAAUUCCACGUGUAGCAGUGAAAUGCGUAGAGAUGUGGAGGAACACCGAUGGCGAAGGCAGCCUCCUGGGCCAGCACUGACGCUCAUGCACGAAAGCGUGGGGAGCAAACAGGAUUAGAUACCCUGGUAGUCCACGCCCUAAACGAUGUCAACUGGUUGUUGGUGGGGUUAAACCCAUUAGUAACGAAGCUAACGCGUGAAGUUGACCGCCUGGGGAGUACGGCCGCAAGGUUA
rnacentral:rRNA from 1 species